rnacentral:rRNA from 1 species
UACCAGCACCCCGAGUGGUCGGGACGUUUAUUGGGCCUAAAGCAUCCGUAGCCGGUUCUACAAGUCUUCCGUUAAAUCCACCUGCUUAACAGAUGGGCUGCGGAAGAUACUAUAGAGCUAGGAGGCGGGAGAGGCGAGCGGUACUCGAUGGGUAGGGGUAAAAUCCGUUGAUCCAUUGAAGACCACCAGUGGCGAAGGCGGCUUGCCAGAACGCGCUCGACGGUGAGGGAUGAAAGCUGGGGGAGCAAACCGG